GGCCCAGCUUGACAAAGCCCUGGCUGGGAUGAUUUAGUUGGGAUUGGUCCUGUUUUGAGCACGGGGUUGGACUGGAUGACCUCCUGAUGUCUCUUCCAACCCUAAUUUUCUAUGAUUCUAGGUUUCUGUGCUCUCCAGAUAGACAUUGCGUCUAGGACACCAUGGGGCUGCACGGCCCUGCACAGUGUCUCAGGCCCUGUUCUGCACAAGAUGUCUAUGGCGCUGGCCUGGUGGCCUCACUGCUCCCACGAGCCAAGUCAGUUAUCACAGGGGGAACUGGAGCAGCGUGUGGAUUAUGACUCUGUUGCGUUAUGCUCUGAUCCUGCCUGGCUUUAACCAGGCUUCCCCACUCCCUGUGUGUCAUUGCCCGGAGAGGGGCAGUGUGCGCUCCGCUGCCAUUUUACUGCUUGGCAACGUGGUGAGCAGCGUGAAGGACCCGGAUUAACCCAUCGUGCAGCAGGAAAUGAUCCACUGCUUGCUCCCGCUGCUGCUGGAUCUUGAAGACCAGGAUGAGAGUGUGACACUGAGAUGCAAACUGACACUCUUCCGUUGCGCAGUGUUUCUCAGGUGGGCUCAAUUGAAGACGCUGUUCCGCAGCAUGGCCUGGGAUGGCGCCACAUAGCUCUUGAAGUGUGCCUGGAAGUGCUUGAUGCAGAACAACAGCCACAUCCCCAAAUUCCUGUUCUAGGCCUUAGAGUACCUGGAAAGCUCACAGACAACAAUCAGACAUUCUGCAGCCCUGUUCAUUGAGCAGGCCUAGGAAAGACUAUCCACCAUUACUGCGAUUUGUUGUCUGAAACAGUGAAUGAAGAUGGCAUCUCCCGCCUGUAUGAAGCUUUUCAAGAAGUGCCUUUGAAAUCUGACAGGACCAGAAGGUACAUCCUCAAUAGACAUUACAAAUGGUUGCAGAAACUUGGAAAUCUCAUGUCAGGUUCUGCAUUCGACUAGGGAACCAGGACCAAUACAGAAGACCUCUUCAUCCUGCUAUGGUCCUUUUCUGCAGAACUGCUGCCUAGCCACUCGACAGGUGCACUUCUGAACUGUGGGUCUGCACUGACCAGGGACAACAAC